GGCUGUGGCUGGAUUCAAGUAAUCCAGGAUAGGCUGUUUCCAUCUGUGAGGCCUAUUCUUGAUUACUUGUUUCUGGAGGCAGC
ensembl:miRNA